UGGGGAAUAUUGCACAAUGGGGGAAACCCUGAUGCAGCGACGCCGCGUGAGCGAUGAAGUAUUUCGGUAUGUAAAGCUCUAUCAGCAGGGAAGAAGAUGACGGUACCUGACUAAGAAGCCCCGGCUAACUACGUGCCAGCAGCCGCGGUAAUACGUAGGGGGCAAGCGUUAUCCGGAUUUACUGGGUGUAAAGGGAGCGUAGACGGCGGUGCAAGCCAGAUGUGAAAGCCCAGGGCUCAACCCCGGGACUGCAUUUGGAACUGUAUGGCUGGAGUGUCGGAGAGGCAGGCGGAAUUCCUAGUG
rnacentral:rRNA from 1 species